UCCCUCGUUUAAACCAGUGAGUGUGCCCGAUCCCAUCUGAUCUCAAAAGUUAAGUGGGGGUGGGUCUGGUUGGUACUUGGAUGGGAGAUGUGGGAU
rnacentral:rRNA from 1 species